GUGCCAACCGCCGCGGUAAUACGUAGGGGGCGAGCGUUGUCCGGAAUCAUUGGGCGUAAAGGGUGUGUAGGUGGCCGUGUAAGUCUUAUGUGAAAUUGCUGGGCUCAACCGAGCAACUGCAUUCGAAACUGGCAGGCUUGAGUCUCGUAGAGGGGGGUAGAAUUCCAGGUGUAGCGGUGAAAUGCGUAGAGAUCUGGAGGAAUACCGGUGGCGAAGGCGGCGCCCUGGACGAAGACUGACGCUCAGGUGCGAAAGCGUGGGGAGCAAACAGGAUUAGAUACCCUGGUAGUCCACGCCGUAAACGAUGUCUAUUUGGAGGUUGUGCCCUUGAGGCGUGGCUUCCGGAGCUAACGCGUUAAAUAGACCGCCUGGGGAGUACGGCCGCAAGGUUAAAACUCAAAUGAAUUGACGGGGGCCCGCACAAGCGGUGGAGCAUGUUGUUUAAUUCGAUGCAACGCGAAGAACCUUACCUGGUCUUGACAUCCACAGAAUUUCUCAGAGAUGAGGAAGUGCCUUCGGGAACUGUGAGACAGGUGCUGCAUGGCUGUCGUCAGCUCGUGUUGUGAAAUGUUGGGUUAAGUCCCGCAACGAGCGCAACCCUUAUCCUUUGUUGCCAGCGAUUCGGUCGGGAACUCAAAGGAGACUGCCAGUGAUAAACUGGAAGAAGGUGGGAAUGAACGUCAAGUCAUCAUGGCCCUUACGAGUUAGGCUACACACGUGCUACGAUGGCAUAUACAA
rnacentral:rRNA from 1 species